AGACAUUUGGUGUAUGUGCUUGGCUGAG
rnacentral:piRNA from 3 species